GACAGAGGUGCCGAGCGUUAGGCGGAAUCACUGGGCUUAAAGCGUGUGUAGGCGGAUCGUUAAGUACCUUGUGAAAUCCCCCGGCUCAACCGGGGAACGGGCGCGGAUACGACUCUUCUGGAGGGGCGUAGGGGGACCUGGAACUUCCGGUGGAGCGGUGAAAUGCGUUGAGAUCGGAAGGAACGCCCGUGGCGAAAGCGAGGUCCUGGACGCCUACUGACGCUGAGACGCGAAAGCCAGGGGAGCGAACGGG
rnacentral:rRNA from 1 species